UACGUAGGGUGCGAGCGUUGUCCGGAAUUAUUGGGCGUAAAGCGCACGUAGGCGGUUCGUUAUGUCGGAUGUGAAAGCCCUUGGCUCAACUGAGGAAGUGCAUCCGAAACUGGCGAGCUAGAGUAUGUAAGAGGGUCGCGGAAUUCCCGGUGUAGAGGUGAAAUUCGUAGAUAUCGGGAGGAACACCGGUGGCGAAGGCGGCGACCUGGGACAAUACUGACGCUGAGGUGCGAAAGCGUGGGGAGCAAACAGG
rnacentral:rRNA from 1 species